CCGGUUAACUCCGACGGCGCCGCGCGGCCGCAACGGCAGCCUGGCCGCCGGCGGGGACGAGCCCCCUUCAUCUUCUUCCACUUCCCCGACCUACUACUGCACUGCCCUCUAAUGCCUCCGUGUAUCCCGUACCUCUCCGGCCAUCUCGAUCCGCCACACCCCCCGGCCCCCGCGUCGUCGCGCCUCGCCCGCCUCGCGGCGGCUCGGGUUCGUUCGGCAUCUGAAACCCAGCCGGCUUGGCGAUGGAGGUAGGAUUGUCAGGGAUGUGCCGCCCACCACCGUCGGCUUGUAUAAUGCCCUGGUGUAAGUACGGGCACACUACUAUGUCUCAUCUCUCCCUUGAAAGUCGAAAGUAUAAAAGAUAUAUGUGCAGUACCCGACAGCAAGACAUUCAAGCAUGCAGUUGGUGAUUGUACGUUUCUGUAAAUUGUGAAGUGGUUGUCAUCAGGAUUCAAGGAUGAUAUCUUGGGUCAAAUUCAAGAACGGAGAUGAUCGGUUUUGGAAGGUUUUAGGUGUUGUUGAACUGUGGUAACUGGUAAGAGAAAGUUCAGGAUUAGUUGUACCAACCUAUUGGCAGAAGUCUAGUUUAUCAAGACACAGAAGAUAAAACACAUAUCUGUCGACAAGUUCUGUAUUUGCUUCAAGCAAUCUUCAAACUCAGAAGUUUUUUCUUGAUGUAAGAUGAUGACUGAAACGGGGAAGGGGGGAAAUUGUCAAUAACCUGGUUUGGUUUACAUCUGACUGCAGAGCUGUAGUCCUCUCAUCAAUUUUAUAUAUAGUUCAAUUAUGGAGUUGGAAUCUCACAAGUCACAGCCACCGCC